rnacentral:rRNA from 1 species
GGGUUGUGAGGUUAAGCGACUAAGCGUACACGGUGGAUGCCCUGGCAGUCAGAGGCGAUGAAGGACGUGCUAAUCUGCGAUAAGCGUCGGUAAGGUGAUAUGAACCGUUAUAACCGGCGAUUUCCGAAUGGGGAAACCCAGUGUGAUUCGUCACACUAUCAUUAACUGAAUCCAUAGGUUAAUGAGGCGAACCGGGGGAACUGAAACAUCUAAGUACCCCGAGGAAAAGAAAUCAACCGAGAUUCCCCCAGUAGCGGCGAGCGAACGGGGAGCAGCCCAGAGCCUGAAUCAGUGUGUGUGUUAGUGGAAGCGUCUGGAAAGGCGCGCGAUACAGGGUGACAGCCCCGUACACAAAAAUGCACAUACUGUGAGCUCGAUGAGUAGGGCGGGACACGUGGUAUCCUGUCUGAAUAUGGGGGGACCAUCCUCCAAGGCUAAAUACUCCUGACUGACCGAUAGUGAACCAGUACCGUGAGGGAAAGGCGAAAAGAACCCCGGCGAGGGGAGUGAAAAAGAACCUGAAACCGUGUACGUACAAGCAGUGGGAGCACGCUUCGGCGUGUGACUGCGUACCUUUUGUAUAAUGGGUCAGCGACUUAUAUUCUGUAGCAAGGUUAACCGAAUAGGGGAGCCGAAGGGAAACCGAGUCUUAACUGGGCGUUAAGUUGCAGGGUAUAGACCCGAAACCCGGUGAUCUAGCCAUGGGCAGGUUGAAGGUUGGGUAACACUAACUGGAGGACCGAACCGACUAAUGUUGAAAAAUUAGCGGAUGACUUGUGGCUGGGGGUGAAAGGCCAAUCAAACCGGGAGAUAGCUGGUUCUCCCCGAAAGCUAUUUAGGUAGCGCCUCGUGAAUUCAUCUCCGGGGGUAGAGCACUGUUUCGGCAAGGGGGUCAUCCCGACUUACCAACCCGAUGCAAACUGCGAAUACCGGAGAAUGUUAUCACGGGAGACACACGGCGGGUGCUAACGUCCGUCGUGAAGAGGGAAACAACCCAGACCGCCAGCUAAGGUCCCAAAGUCAUGGUUAAGUGGGAAACGAUGUGGGAAGGCCCAGACAGCCAGGAUGUUGGCUUAGAAGCAGCCAUCAUUUAAAGAAAGCGUAAUAGCUCACUGGUCGAGUCGGCCUGCGCGGAAGAUGUAACGGGGCUAAACCAUGCACCGAAGCUGCGGCAGCGACGCUUAUGCGUUGUUGGGUAGGGGAGCGUUCUGUAAGCCUGUGAAGGUGUACUGUGAGGUAUGCUGGAGGUAUCAGAAGUGCGAAUGCUGACAUAAGUAACGAUAAAGCGGGUGAAAAGCCCGCUCGCCGGAAGACCAAGGGUUCCUGUCCAACGUUAAUCGGGGCAGGGUGAGUCGACCCCUAAGGCGAGGCCGAAAGGCGUAGUCGAUGGGAAACAGGUUAAUAUUCCUGUACUUGGUGUUACUGCGAAGGGGGGACGGAGAAGGCUAUGUUGGCCGGGCGACGGUUGUCCCGGUUUAAGCGUGUAGGCUGGUUUUCCAGGCAAAUCCGGAAAAUCAAGGCUGAGGCGUGAUGACGAGGCACUACGGUGCUGAAGCAACAAAUGCCCUGCUUCCAGGAAAAGCCUCUAAGCAUCAGGUAACAUCAAAUCGUACCCCAAACCGACACAGGUGGUCAGGUAGAGAAUACCAAGGCGCUUGAGAGAACUCGGGUGAAGGAACUAGGCAAAAUGGUGCCGUAACUUCGGGAGAAGGCACGCUGAUAUGUAGGUGAAGCGACUUGCUCGUGGAGCUGAAAUCAGUCGAAGAUACCAGCUGGCUGCAACUGUUUAUUAAAAACACAGCACUGUGCAAACACGAAAGUGGACGUAUACGGUGUGACGCCUGCCCGGUGCCGGAAGGUUAAUUGAUGGGGUUAGCGCAAGCGAAGCUCUUGAUCGAAGCCCCGGUAAACGGCGGCCGUAACUAUAACGGUCCUAAGGUAGCGAAAUUCCUUGUCGGGUAAGUUCCGACCUGCACGAAUGGCGUAAUGAUGGCCAGGCUGUCUCCACCCGAGACUCAGUGAAAUUGAACUCGCUGUGAAGAUGCAGUGUACCCGCGGCAAGACGGAAAGACCCCGUGAACCUUUACUAUAGCUUGACACUGAACAUUGAGCCUUGAUGUGUAGGAUAGGUGGGAGGCUUUGAAGUGUGGACGCCAGUCUGCAUGGAGCCG